rnacentral:miRNA from 1 species
UACAGUCUCGAUGACCGGAAGGGAUUCCUUCCGGUCAUUGGGACCAUACAAUCUCUAUGGCCAGAAGGGAUUCCUUCCAGUCAUCGAGACUGUA